AGUGAACGCUGGCGGCAGGCCUAACACAUGCAAGUCGAGCGGCAGCACGGGUAGCAAUACCUGGUGGCGAGCGGCGGACGGGUGAGGAAUACAUCGGAAUCUGCCUUGUCGUGGGGGAUAACGUAGGGAAACUUACGCUAAUACCGCAUACGACCGAGAGGUGAAAGCGGGGGAUCGCAAGACCUCGCGCGACAAGAUGAGCCGAUGUCGGAUUAGCUAGUUGGCGGGGUAAGAGCCCACCAAGGCGACGAUCCGUAGCUGGUCUGAGAG
rnacentral:rRNA from 1 species